rnacentral:lncRNA from 1 species
GUUUGUGGUCAGUCUACAAAGAACCAUCCAGCACCAUAUUUCUCCACUUUCUAUAACUGAGAAGAAUAGUGACUCAGAAGAUGUUGGUAUUAUGGAAAUCUGGUGCCUGCCUGGGAUACAGCCACUGGCACAGGAGAGACACUGCCUUGAGACCUGGGACUUCUUGGGGAGAAUGUCUUUGGGUGGCAGAGGCAUUUCUGUCUCUGUUGCACCCCACCCCCCCCAUGUUGUGCUCCUUGGUUGUCAUCUCAUGUUCCAUUGUUGGGAUGCAUGUUGUACCCUGAGAGAAGCCCUUCUUUGUUCUCACCCUUAGAGGAACCUUUCAUUUUGCUGUCUUGUAUUCCCCUGACAUAUUAAGCCAAUUUCCUCCUGUUUGGGUCUCAAGAGGAAGAAUAGCUAAUUAACUGUUUCGGUGAAGUAAUUCAUUAGAUUUCUUUUUUCC